rnacentral:rRNA from 1 species
CUACGGGUUGCACCAGUGAGGAAUAUUGCACAAUGGGGGGAACCCUGAUGCAGCAACGCCGCGUGGAGGAUGACGCAUUUCGGUGUGUAAACUCCUUUUAUAUGUCAAGAAAAUGACGGUAGCAUAUGAAUAAGCACCGGCUAACUCCGUGCCAGCAGCCGCGGUAAUACGGAGGGUGCAAGCGUUACUCGGAAUCACUGGGCGUAAAGGACGCGUAGGCGGGUUGGAAAGUCAGGUGUGAAAUCCUACAGCUUAACUGUAGAACUGCACUUGGAACUUCUAAUCUAGAGUAUGGGAGGGGGAGAUGGAAUUCGUGGUGUAGGGGUAAAAUCCGUAGAUAUCACUAGGAAUACCUAAAGCGAAGGCGAUCUCCUGGAACAUUACUGACGCUAAGGCGUGAAAGCGUGGGGAGCAAACAGGAUUAGAUACCCGGGUAGUC